rnacentral:rRNA from 1 species
GACAGAGGAUGCGAACGUUGCUCGGAUUUACUGGGCGUAAAGCGCGUGUAGGCGGUCUCGUUAGUCGGGUGUGAAAGCCCCGGGCUCAACCCGGGAAGUGCACCCGAUACUGCGAGACUGGGGUACUGAAGAGGAGAGCGGAAUUCCCGGUGUAGAGGUGAAAUUCGUAGAUAUCGGGAGGAACACCAGUGGCGAAGGCGGCUCUCUGGGCAGAUACCGACGCUGAGACGCGAAAGCGUGGGGAGCAAACAGG